AUGAACGCUGGCGGCGUGCCUCAUACCUGCAAGUCGAGCGAACAGACGAGGAGCUUGCUCCUCUGACGUUAGCGGCGGAUGGGUGAGUAACACGUGGAUAACCUACCUAUAAGACUGGGAUAACUUCGGGAAACCGGAGCUAAUACCGGAUAAUAUAUUGAACCGCAUGGUUCAAUAGUGAAAGACGGUUUUGCUGUCACUUAUAGAUGGAUCCGCGCCGCAUUAGCUAGUUGGUAAGGUAACGGCUUACCAAGGCAACGAUGCGUAGCCGACCUGAGAGGGUGAUCGGCCACACUGGAACUGAGACACGGUCCAGACUCCUACGGGAGGCAGCAGUAGGGAAUCUUCCGCAAUGGGCGAAAGCUUGACGGAGCAACGCCGCGUGAGUGAUGAAGGUCUUCGGAUCGUAAAACUCUGUUAUUAGGGAAGAACAAAUGUGUAAGUAACUAUGCACGUCUUGACGGUACCUAAUCAGAAAGCCACGGCUAACUACGUG
rnacentral:rRNA from 1 species